UCUACUUUCCUCCCACUCACUUCUUUUGAGAGAAACUCCUUUUCUAGGAAGGAUCCAUUUUUAGCUACAAAUAUUUUGCCUUCGGAUCUGUGAUAGAAGGUGUACCCAACAGUUUCCUUUGGGUAUCCUAUGAAGACGCAUUUCUCUGAUUUGGGUUCAAGCUUAUCAGGUGAAGCUUUUUCACAUAAGCAUCGCAGCCCCAAACUUUAAGAAACAACAACUUUGGUUUCUUUCCAAACCACAGUUCAUAAGGUGUCGUCUCAAGGGAUUUUGAUGGUGCCCUAUUUAACGUGAAUGUAGCUGUCUCUAAUGCUUAAUCCCAAAACGACAGUGGUAAAUCGGUAAGAGACAUCAUAGAUCUCACCAUUUCUAAGAAAGUGCGGUUACGACGUUGGACACACCAUUACACUGUGGUGUUCCAGGUGGCGUGAGCUGUGAAACUAUACCACAUUGUUUUAAUGAAGGCCAAACUCGUAAUUCAAAUGUUCGCCUCUGCGAUCAGAUUGUAGAAACUUAAUUUUCUUGUUACGAUGAUUCUCCACUUCACUCUGAAAUUCUUUGAACUUUUCAAAUGUUUCAGACAUGUGUUUCAUCAAGCAGAUAUACCAAUAUCUUCUCAAAUCAUGUAUGAAGGUCAGAAAAUAACGAUACCCGCCUUGAGCAUCAACAAUCAUUGGACUUCAUACAUCGACAUAUAUUAUUUCCAAUAAGUCACUAGCUUGUUCCAUUGUUCUGGAGAACGGAGUUUUAGUCAUCUUUCCCAUGAGGCACGGCUCACAAGCAUCAAGUGAUUCAUAAUCAAGUGAUUCCAAAAGCCCAUCAGCAUGGAGUUUCUUCAUGCGCUUUACACCAAUAUGACCUAAACGGCAGUGCCACAAGUAUGUUGCAUUAUCAUUAUCAACUUUGCAUCUUUUGGCAUCAAUAUUAUGAAUAUCUAUAUCACUACAAUCAAGAUUCAAUAAACCAUCAACAUUGGGUGUAUGACCAUGGAAGGUUUUAUUCAUGUAAACAGAAUAACAAUUAUUCUCUGUCUUAAAUGAAUAACCGUAUUGCAAUAAACAUGAGCUAAUCAUAUUCAUGCUCAACGCAAACACCAAAUAACAUUUAUUUAGGUUCAACACUAAUCCCGAAAGUAUAGGGGGUGUACGAUGAUGAUCAUAUCAACCUUGGAACCACUUCCAACACUCAUCGUCACUUCAUCCUUAACUAAUCUCUAUGUAUUCUGUAACUCCUGUUUCGAGUUACUAAUCUUAGCAACUGAACAAGUAUCAAAUACCCAGGGGAUACUACGAGCACUAGUAAGGUACACAUCAAUAACAUGUAUAUCAAAUAUACCUUUGUUCACUUUACCAUCCUUAUUAUCCACCAAAUAUUCGGGGCAGUUCCACUUUCGAUGACCAUUUCCUUUGCAGUAGAAGCACUCAAUUUCAGGCGUUGGUCCAGCUUUGGGCUUCUUCACGGGAGUGACAACUUGCUUGCCAUUCUACUUGAAGUUCCCUUUCAUUCGCUUUGCCCUUUACUUGAAACUAGUGGUCUUGUCAAUCAUCAACACUUGAUGCUCUUUCUUGAUUUCUACCUUCGUUGAUUUCAGCAUCACAAAGAGCUUGGGAAUCGUUUUCGUCAUCCCUUGCAUAUUAUAGUUUAUCACGAAGUUCCAGUAACUUGGGUGAUGGUGACUAGAGAUCUUUGUCAAUCACUAUCUUAUCUGGAAGAUUAACUCCCACUUGAUUCAAGUGAUUGUAGUACCCAUACAUUCUGAGCACAUGCUCACUAGUUGAGCAAUUCUCCUCCAUCUUUUAGGCAAAGUAAUUGUCAGAGGUCUCAUACCUCUUGACAUGGGCAUGAGUCAGAAAUACCAAUUUUAGCUCUUGGAACAUCUCAUAUGCUUCGUGACGUUUCAAAAAUGUUUUUGAAGUCCCGGUUCUAAGCUGUAAAGCAUGGUGCACUAAACUAUCAAGUAGUCAUCAUAUUGAGCUAGCCAAACAUUCAUAAUGUCUGCAUCUGCUCCUGCAAUAGGUCUAUCACCUAGCGGUGCAUCAAGGACAUAAUUCUUCUGUGCAACAAUGAGGAUAAACCUCAGAUCAUGGACCUAGUCUGCAUCAUUGCUACUAUCAUCUUUCAACUCAAUUUUCUCUAGGAACAUAUAAAAACAUAGGGAAGCUAUAACGCGAGCUAUUGAUCUACAACAUAACUUGCAAAAUACUAUCAUGACUAAGUUCAUGAUAAAUUAAAGUUCAAUUAAUCAUAUUACUUAAGAACUCCCACUUAGAUAGACAUCCCUCUAGUCAUCUAAAUGAUCACGUGAUCCAAAUCAACUAAACCAUGUCCGAUCAUCACGUGAGAUGGAGUAGUUUCAAUGGUGAACAUCACUAUGUUGAUCAUAUCUACUAUAUGAUUCAUGCUCGACCUUUCGAUCUCCAGCGUUCCGAGAUCAUAUCUGCAUAUGCUAGGCUCGUCAAGUUUAACCCGAGUAUUCUACGUGUGCAAAACUGGCUUGCACCCAUUGUAUAUGAACGUAGAACCUAUAACACCCGAUCAUCACGUGGUGUCUCAGCACGAAUAACUGUAGCAACGAUGCAUACUCAGGGAGAACACUUAUACCUUGAAAUUUAGUAAGGGAUCAUCUUAUAAUGCUACCGCCGUACUAAGCAAAAUAAGAUGCAUAAAAGAUAAACAUCACAUGCAAUCAAAAAUAUGUGACAUCAUAUGGCCAUCAUCAUCUUGUGCUCAUGAUCUCCAUCACCGAAGCAUCGUCAUGAUCUCCAUCUUCACCGGCAUGACACCUUGAUCUCCAUCAUAGCAUUGUUGUCGUCUCGCCAACUAUUGUUACUUUGACUAUCGCUACUGUUUAGUGAUAAAGUAAACAAUUACAUGGCGAUUGCAUUGCAUACAAUAAAGCGACAAUCAUAUGGCUCCUGCCAGUUGCUGAUAACUUUGUUACAAAACAUGAUCAUAUCAUACAACAAUUUAUAUCACAUCAUGCCUUGACCAUAUCACACCACAGCAAGCCCUGCAAAAACAAGUUAGACGUCCUCUACUUUGUUGUUCCAAGUUUUACGUGGCUGCUAUGGGCUUCUAGCAAGAACCGUUCUUACCUACGCAUCAAAACCACAAUGAUUUUUCGUCAAGUGUGUUGUUUUAACCUUCAACAAGGACCGGGCGUAGCCACACUCGAUUCAACUAAAGUUGGAGAAACAAACACUCACCAGCCACCUAUGUGCGAAGCACGUCGGUAGAACCAAUCUUGCGUAAGCGUACGCAUAAUGUCGGCCUGAGCCGCUUCAUCCAACAAUACCGCCGAAUCAAAGUAUGACAUGCUGGUAAGAAGUAUGACUAUUAUAACCCACAACUCUUUGUGUUCUACUCGUGCAUAUAACAUCUACGCAUAGACCUGGCUUGGAUGCCACUGUUGGGGAACGCGGUAAUUUCAAAAAAAUCCUACGAUCACGCAAGAACUAUCUCUAGGUGAUGCAUAGCAACGAGAGGGCAGAGUGUUGUCUACGUACCCUCGUAGACCGAAAGUGGAAGCAUUAUGACAACGCGAUUGAUGUAGUCGUACGUCUUCAUGAUCCGACCGAUCCUAGCACCGAAGGUACGGCACCUCCACGAUCUGCACACGUUCAGCUCGGUGACGUCCCAUGAACUAUAGAUCUAGCUGAGGUCGAGGGAGAGUUCGUCAUCACGACGGCGUGAUGAUGGUGAUGAUGAAGUUACCAGCGCAGGGCUUCGCCUAAGCACUACGAUGAUAUGACCGAGGUGGAAAUCUGUGGAGGGGGGCACCGCACACGGCUAAAACAAUUGUCAACAUGUGUGUCCUAGGGGUGCCCCUCUCCCCCAUAUAUAAAGGAGCAAGGGGAGGGGGCCGGCGGCCUCAUAGGGUGCGCCCCAAGGGGGGAAUCCUACUCCUACUAGGAGUAGGUUCCCCCUUUCCUAGUCCAACUAGGAGGGGAAGGAAAGAGGAGGAGGGGAGAAGGAAAGUGGGGGCCGGCCCCCCAAGCCCUAAACCAAUUCGGUUUGGGCCUAGGGGGGCGUGCCCCACAGCUCCCUUGCUGCCCUCUAUUUCCACUAAGGCCCAUGAAGGCCCAUUGACCCCCCGGGGGGUUCCGGUAACUCCCCGGUACUCCGGUAUUUAUCCGGUGACCCCCGGAACCUUUCUGGUGUCUGAAUAUAACCUUCCAAUAUAUCAAUCUUUAUGUCUCAACCAUUUAGAGACUCCUCGUCAUGUCCAUGAUCACAUCCGGGACUCCGAACAACCUUCGGUACAUCAUAUCACAUAAACUCAUAAUACCAAUCGUCAUCGAACGUUAAGCGUGCGGACCCUACGGGUUCGAGAACGAUGUAGACAUGACAUGACCGAGACACAUCUCCCGUCAAUAACCAAUAGCGGAACCUGGAUGCUCAUACUGGUUCCUACAUAUUCUACGAAGAUCUUUAUCGGUCAAACCGCAUAACAACAUACGUUGUUCCCUUCGUCAUCGGUAUGUUACUUGCCCGAGAUUCGAUCAUCGGUAUCCCAAUACCUAGUUCAAUCUCAUUAUCAUAAGUCUCUUUAGUCGUUUUGCAAUACUUCAUCCCACAACUAACUCAUUAGUCACAAUGCUUGCAAGGCUUAUAGUGAUGAGUAUUACCGAGAGGGCCCAGAGAUACCUCUCCGAAACAUGGAGUGACAAAUCCUAAUCUCGAUCUAUGCCAACCCAACAAACACCUUCGUAGACACCUAUAGAGCACCUUUAUAAUCACCCAUUUACGUUGUGACGUUUGGUAGCACACAAAGUGUUCCUCCGGUAUUCGGGAGUUGCAUAAUCUCACAAUCUGAGGAACUUGUAUAAGUCAUGAAGAAAGCAGUAGCAAUGAAAUUGACACGAUCAUAAUGCUAAGCUAACGGAUGGGUCAUGUCCAUCACGUCAUUAUCCUAAUGAUGAGAUCCCAUUCAUCAAAUGACAACACAUGUCAAUGGUUAGGAAAUGUAACCAUCUUUGAUUAACGAGCUAGUCAAGUAGAGGCAUACUAGGGACUAUAUGUUUUGUCUAUGUAUUCACACAUGUACUAAGUUUCCGGUUAAUACAAUUCUAGCAUGAAUAAUUGUCGUGGGAAACGAACACCUAUGGGGCAAGGGGCCCCUUUUGGUCCGGCAGGGAGCGGAGGGCGCACGAAGAGCGGAUCGAGGCGGAGCACGCGAGCGAUCUUUACCCAGUUUCGGAGCUCUCCGGAGAGAUAAUACUCCUAUUGUUGCUUUGUGGUUGUAUUCUGCCCUUGCUCGAGAGCGUGGGAGCCUUUUGUUUCCAAUGGGUCGAACCUCGUCUGUGGUUCUCCUGGUCCGAACCCCCUCUACGUUGCGCGUGGGCCUCCUUUUAUAUGCAAAGAAGGGGUCACCGACAGGUGGCAACACAGAGAAGGGUACAAAUGUAAAAAACGAGGUGGUUGGUACAGUUAUUUUUACAGUGCAUCCUACCUAACCCUGACGGCAGGGGACAAGGGCAUUAAAUGCCCGUCUGAGUCGCCCAAACAGUGCAGAAAAGCGACCGCUAGGGGCGGCACUGCUUGCCACGAUGGCCUUCUCGUCAUCUCCACUUGCCACCUCGCACCGCUUGGCUACGCAACCUCCCGACACGUGCGCCCGGAAUGGUCUCAGGGCGACACGCCGAAGAGGUGCGCUGGAGCGUGGGCACGGAGUGGUGGCUUCGCCGCGGCAAGCGCCUUGCCGCGGUUGUUGUCCUGUCGCACCCGAAAGCUUGUUGCUCGUCGGGUCUUGCCGGGACGCGCGGCGCGUCGCGGCAAGUUCUUUGAAGUGCCCUGGUUGGCCUUCCCGGCAAGCUCCUCUUGCCGGGGCCUUGUCCUUCCCGGCAAGCUCCUCUUGCCGGAGCCUUGUCUUCUCAGUUAAAACACUUUGUUCUUGAAUGGCAUCACUAGGGACUACGGAGGAUCUUGGCGGACACCCGGCGAGCCCUGCCGCGGGACGCUGCAACUGCUCGUGCACAAGUUCGGGAUACUAAGGUACCCUUACUCUAGUACACCGACAGGAGCCCCCGGGCCUGGGCCACACACGGUGCCGAGCGCUGUUGGGCCAGGCCCAAAACAGGGCACGGGCACACGCGGCCUGGGUCCAUACCAAAUCUAACUCCGUAUCCACCGCGCCCUCCCGUAACGGCACGCGUCAAUCGCGGCGUCGUGGGAGAGAUCGUGGGUGAUUAUUAUUUUAAAAUGAACGCAACAUUCGCCUCCUCCUCUUUAUAAGCAGGGGAAACAGGGGUCGUUCCCCCAGCUUCGCCACUUGCAGUUGCUUCCUCAGAAAUCUCCGCCGCUCCCCUCCGCUUUCCAAAGCCGAAAGGGAGCAGCGCUCCGUUCCUCGGCACUACCGUCGCCACCAACGCCCCCGCUUUCCCUCACCGCCUCCGCCAUGGCUCCGAAGACCGGGAAGAGUACGAAGUCGGCCGAGGCACUGCGGCUUGAGGCGCUGCNNNNNNNNNNNNNNNNNNNNNNNNNNNNNNNNNNNNNNNNNNNNNNNNNNNNNNNNNNNNNNNNNNNNNNNNNNNNNNNNNNNNNNNNNNNNNNNNNNNNNNNNNNNNNNNNNNNNNNNNNNNNNNNNNNNNNNNNNNNNNNNNNNNNNNNNNNNNNNNNNNNNNNNNNNNNNNNNNNNNNNNNNNNNNNNNNNNNNNNNNNUGGUUCUAUCUUUUCUGGUCGACGGAGAUGCGGGCGCAUCCGCGCACGCAGGUACUUUCCGCCGCUGCUUCCACUUCGAAUCGGUGCCCAAGAGGAUACCCCUUCUUUCCACUGUUCUUCUAUUGCGGGCUUUGCCCGCCCUUCUCCAAUUUCUUCUGUGAUAUCAUGAAUACCUACGGGUUUCAUCUCCUCGGUUUCACACCCAACGCUGUUCUGACCAUGGCGGUUUUCGCACAUCUCUGCAAGAACUUCGUCGGAAUCCACCCAAACGUUGCCCUUUUUCGCCACUACUUCAUCCCCCGGGCCGAGAAAGGAGAGCCCUUAGCUAGCGGAAUCGCCUGGAUCUCGAGAGUCGGCAUGAAGGAGGCCUAUCUGGAGGGGGAGCUCCGUAGCAAAUGGGAGGAGUGGAGAGCGGAGUGGUGUUGGAUUGUUGACGAGAACCCGCAUCCAUUCACCAACUUGCGCCAAGCCCGAGUAGUGCGCGGCGGCGAUUGGAGCGCCCUGGCGGCGGACGAUGCUAAAUUGAAGAUUGCCACCACCCGGAUCUUGCGGCUCAGGCUAGCCGGGCUAACUGUAGGAGCUGUCGGCGCGGACUUUCUUCACCGCCGUAUCGCCCCUUUGCAGGAGAGGGGGAGACCCGCCUGGCUGUUCGGGGGUCCGGCGGAUAUCAUGAGGCUGCGCCCAGGCCUCAAUUUUAAUUUCACUGUUCUGGAGUUGGACGGGACGCUCAAGGAACUGUUCAAGCACGACCCCAACCAUCCCGAGUGGUUCAGGCUGCCGCAGGGCAUCGUCCCAUUGUGCAACAACUCCCAACUCGAUCGCAUCCGCGCAAUGAUGCCAGAGUGCGACUCGCAUGGGAUUAUCCCAACUUGGCAGCAGCCCGCCGACGACGUCGUGCAGCAAUUCUUCGACGACUUGGUGGAGGUGGCGGUCCGUGCCGACGAGCAGAGGCUCCUCACCCGCGAUACCACCGAUGAUGAGAUGCGGCGCAUCGCCACCAGGGCGGAGGAGGCGGCAGCGGCCGCCGCCGCGGGCGAGUUCGGGUUUACUGUGGAGGAGGCCGAGGCAGCCGAGGCGGCAAGCCUUGUCGACCGAGAGGAGCUUGUCAGGGAGGAAGAGCCCGAAGCCGAAACGAGCGAGCCCGCCGAGGGUGCGAGUGGCCAGCCGUCUUCAAGAAACUUGCAACAGGCGGAGCCCUCAGUGCAGCCUCCAGCUCAACCAAGAAGGCGCCUCCGCAGGACCGGAGACGCUGCAGGGCGGAAAACGGGCCAACAGCCGCCGCGCCGCGGGACACGCUCCACCACGCCAAGCACCAUUGCCACGGGAGCAUCUCACGCCGCACCGGCAACUGGAGCGGGGUCUUCUCGGGCCGCCGCUUCCGAUCCUGCUGCAGCUCCCGCCAAGCGUCCAAGGGAGCCCACUCCUCUGCCUCGUCGCGCUGAAAGAGUACCAGACUUUGAUCUCUCUGCGCUCAGCUCCGACGAGGAGGAAGAAGAAGAGGAGGACGAGUAAGUCUUUUUUGUUAUACUUAUGGUCCUUUUAUUCUUGCGGUUUCUUGUCUCGUAUCUGAUCUGCUUUCUUCUGGACCCUGUCCCUUUCCAGGACUCUGGCCCAGAGAGCGGCAAAGAGGGUCAAGGUCCCCGUGGUUGUCAUCGAGGACGAUCCUGCUGUAACAGUAGAGGACGCGUCCGAGACCACCUUGUCGGACCCGGCAACCUCUCCCCGAAGCAGCUCCCAGUGCAGCCCCCAGCGUAAGUUCAUAGUUUUACUUCCCACUAUCAGGUGCGCAUGGGUGUUCUUUCCUUGCUGAUAUCCUCAUUGUUGAUUUGCUUGUGCAGGAGCAGAACAGGCCCACCAGGAACAGCCAGAAGUCGCUCCUGAGGUGUUGUCUGCUUCCACUACGCCGCCAAGGGGUGACUCCCCGGCAAGGGAACGCUCUCCGGCAAGGGACGGGACCAGCGAUCCCCCGGUGGUGGAGCCCAUGGUUACAGAGCCCAGCACAGGUAAUCCUCCUUGUCAGAGAACUUCCCUUGGUUCUUCUUUCUCCUGAUCUUCUUCUUGCAUAUUUGCUUAACUUUUUCUUCCUUCCUCGAUCUUCAGAUCCAUCUACCGCAGACCUGAUGGAGACCAAGGGCGCCGGCGAGGAAGGCGUGCAUGGUGGCACCAACGACGCUGCCGCCAACGAAGAGAGGGCCGGCGCUGAUGACCCCGCCAGCGAGGAGGCUGCCAAGGCUACCUCCACGGAAGCUGGUGAGGGGUCGGGCGAUCGCACUGACGGCCCUGAGGCCGCAGGAGCGCCAGGCGCUGCACCGACCGCCGAGCCCUCCGCCACUGCCGCGGAGCCAGACUCCGAAGAGCCCCAGCCUGGCGCCUACUUAAAGGCCGGCGACGGGAUUUUCAUCAAACUUCCCUGGGCGUCGAGCUCCAGGGCGCCGGUCGAGGGAGAAGCUUUCGACGAGGAGGUGCUCGCCUCCGCCGGGCUGUCGUUGGUCGACACGCCCGGCAACAGCGACGAGCCUGAAGAGGAGCAGCUGCUGCGGAGGUUGACGUCGCUCUACCGCGCCCGGCAGGCCAAGCUGGCCUCCCGGGAAGCGCUUGUCGCGAAGGCUGGCGUGGACUUGGAGAAGCGCGCGGAGGAGCUCCGAAGCGCCAACCAAGAAGAUCUCCAGUCGGUGGCGCAGGAGCGAGAGCAGCUUGCCGGGGAGCGCACGGCCUACCUCCUCGAGAAGGCCGAGGCUGAAGAACAACAGCGGCUGGCUGCCGAGAAGCAGGCUGCGCGAGAAGGCGAGCUGGUGCAGAAGAAAGCCUAUCUCGACAGCUAUGAAGAAGAGCUUGUCGGGCGCGAGCAAGCACUCGACGGGGCGCUCAAGGAGGCAAAGGACGCCGCCGCAACUGCUGAGGCCGCCAAGAAGGAGUUGGAGGCGAAGGUGACGCAGUUGGAGGCCAAUCUGAAGGCGAGCGGUGAAGAGCUUGCCGCGCUCAAGCGCGAGCGCGAGAAGGAUGCUGCCGCUCAUGGUGAGCUGCAGGGUCUUCUCGCCGAGAGGAGCAAGGAGCUCAGCGCCGCCAAAGACUCCAAUGAUGAUCUCGAGCUGAAGCUGAUCACGCUGACCCGGACGUUGGAUAGCGCCAAGGAGCGAGAGGCGACCUUGGCGGAUAAGGUCAAGGCCGACUCAGAACUGCUGGCGAGCAUUGCCGUCACCCAGAACUCAUUCAGGGAGAUGGUAGAGCACUGGACCGAGGGUCUGGUGAACAUCGCCGCAGUCAUCGAUGGAGAGCUGGCGCAGCUGGGGAUGGAGAACUUUGGAUAUCCUUCCGAUGAGCAUCUCCAGCCCAGCGCCAAGCUUAGCCUAUUCUUCAAAGGCGUGGCGACGGCCCUCCAGCAGCUCCGGGAGAAGAUCCCGAAGCAGCUGGCCGACGAGUCACGCGCAAUCUGCGCCAGAGUCUUGGAGAAGGUGUUGGUGAAGGUGCUCUUCCGCAAUCCGGGCCUCAACCUCACCAACGUCCUCAAGAAGCUGCCGACGGGUGCUGAUCUUGAGGAGCUUAGGGCCCUUGUCGCACCCAUUGUGGACAAGGUGAAUGAAGUCAGGAGGGUCGACGGUGAUCGCGUAGACUAGGCCGCCUUUUUCCUCCUUUUCUUGCCGCUGCUGAUCAUGUUGCGAGAACCAUUUAUUAGAGCUGCGACAAGUUCUUUUUGUAUCAUAACUUUAUCUUGGGCAGUAUUGGCUAUGUUAUUUCCUUUGCUUGAUUCCUUCCUUUGUAUGUUUUUACCCUACGCUUUCAGGGAACUUGCCGGCGCAGGCACCCUUGCCGCGAGCGCUGAGUGCGGAACAUCAGCAGCCUGCUGGCGGUGCUGCUUCCGGCAAGAAACCUUGUCGCAACUAGUCGCGGCACACUUAAGUUGUUGAGCGGACUCGAAACAAAGUAAGGGCGCAACUAGCCACGAAUUGGUUCCUCCGCCCACAGGUUUUCCAUACAAGGUACGGUUGUUCGAAGGAGAUAACUUAAAAAUUUAAAAACUAAUUGCUCAAACUUUGGCAACUUAGCUUUUCUGUCGUUUGCUUCCCGGCAAGGCAAAACUUGGUUGAACGACGCCUGUUCCACAUCAUAAUNNNNNNNNNNNNNNNNNNNNNNNNNNNNNNNNNNNNNNNNNNNNNNNNNNNNNNNNNNNNNNNNNNNNNNNNNNNNNNNNNNNNNNNNNNNNNNNNNNNNNNNNNNNNNNNNNNNNNNNNNNNNNNNNNNNNNNNNNNNNNNNNNNNNNNNNNNNNNNNNNNNNNNNNNNNNNNNNNNNNNNNNNNNNNNNNNNNNNNNNNNNNNNNNNNNNNNNNNNNNNNNNNNNNNNNNNNNNNNNNNNNNNNNNNNNNNNNNNNNNNNNNNNNNNNNNNNNNNNNNNNNNNNNNNNNNNNNNNNNNNNNNNNNNNNNNNNNNNNNNNNNNNNNNNNNNNNNNNNNNNNNNNNNNNNNNNNNNNNNNNNNNNNNNNNGUGCGAGGGAACCUUCCUUUCCUUUGUUGAGAAAAAAUAAGGAAGAGAAAAUAAAGAUAUGGAGCCCCAUGGCUCGUUAUUGCUUACCGGGGCAGGUGCUGCACAAAGUGUCAGAUAACACACAUGCAAGAAAGAAAUUAAUGCAUGAAAUGGACAAGUUGUGCGGAGCACAUGAGUUUAUUUAUGCACGGGAUCUGCGCCCGGCUUUGUACAAAGGAUUACAUGUAACAGCGACAAGACUUGUACAAAAGGUGGUUGCCGGAAUGGACUCCUGCAACCGCGCCCUAUGGGUAAAACUUACGAAGAUGCUCUAUGUUCCAGGAGUUGCUCACCGGAAUGCCAUCUUCGGUCUCAAGGCGGACAGCGCCAGGCCUAGUGACUCGUUUCACCUGAUAGGGGCCUUCCCACUUCGGCGUCAACUUGUUGGAAUUCUUGGCGGAUUGAACGCGCCGAAGAACAAGGUCGCCUUCCUCGAGACUUCUGGCAUUGACUCUGCGGCUAUGGUAGUGACGCAAAGCUUGCUGGUAUCGAGCAGCUCGUACAGCAGCCUGAAGAUGAUCUUCCUCGAGGAGCAGCGCGUCAUCUUGUCGCAGCUGUUCUUGCUCAAGCUCAUCAUAAGCGAGCACUCGAGGUGAUCCGUAUACGAGUUCCGUGGGGAGAACUGCCUCUGCUCCAUAGACUAGAGCAAAAGGCGUCUGGCCAGUGGCUCGAUUUGGCGUCGUCCUGAUCGACCAAAGAACCACCGGCAGCUCUUCGAUCCAGUUUCUUACGCACUUGCGCAGCCUGUCGAAAGUUCUGGUCUUGAGUCCGCGCAGCACUUCGGCGUUUGCCCUCUCCGCUUGACCGUUGCUUCUCGGGUGAGCAACAGAAGCGAAGCAUACCUUGGCGCCAAGGUCUUGGACGUACUGUAUGAAGGUGCGGCUCGUGAACUGGGUGUCGUUGUCGGUGAUGAUCCUGUUAGGGAUCCCGAAACGGCAAACAAUUGACCUGAAGAACUUGACUGCUGACUGUGUUGUCACCUUCCUCACUGCUUCCACUUCCGGCCACUUUGUGAACUUGUCGAUUGCCACGUACAAGUACUCAAAGCCCCCGACAGCGCGGGGGAAGGGGCCGAGGAUGUCGAUCCCCAGACCGAAAAUGGCCAGGAUAAAGGGAUCGUCUGGAGAGCUUGAGCUGGCUGAUGUAUCUGCUUGGAAUGGAACUGGCACGCUUCACACUUGGUUACUUGUGCAGUUGCAUCCUGGAGGGCUGUCGGCCAAAAGAAACCUUGUCGAAACGCUUUGUCGGCAAGCGCUCUUGCACCAAUGUGGUGACCACAUAUGCCUCCAUGUAUCUCUGCCAACAGCUUCUGUCCAUCUUCCCGGUGAAUACACUUCAAUUUCACACCGUUGAGUCUUCUUCUGUACAGUGUGCUGUCAACAAACUGGUACAUACUUGACUGUCGGGCUACUCUUUCCGCCUCUUCUUGCUCUUCGGGAAGUUCUCCUGUAUGGAGGAAACGGACAAUCUGUUGUGCCCAUGCUGGAGCUUGUGGCUCGACAACAAGGACUAAAGGCACAUCUGCUGUUGCGGGAACAUCCGCUUCUAUGGCUAGACCCUGCGGCUCAGCCGGAGCUUGAUGUUCCGCGGCAAGCUUGCCGGAGCAAAACUUGUCGGGAGCGUCUGCUUCAACGAAACAAACCCUAUGGCUUGUCGGAGCAGACUGCUCCCCAGCAUCCUUGGCAUUGAUCUUGGGGACCUUCUUGGCGGCGGCUUCGGGGAGCUCUGCCGGAAAGUAGUCACCAGAAAUCAACUUCCUCUUCUUGCUAUGUCCAGUUGAUGGCGUCACAGACGGCUGAGUCAGCUUGAGCAUAAAGAUCCCCGGUUCCACAGGUAACUUCAAUGCUGCGCACUUUGACAGGCCAUCGGCUAUGUCAUUCUGAGCCCUUGGAACGUGUUCCAUCUAUAGACCGUCAAAGUGCUCUUCUAGCUUCCUCACUUCAUCAACAUAUGCUUCCAUCAAUGGACUCUGAUAAUCUUUGUUCACUUGGCGGACGACAAGCUGCGAGUCACCCCUGACAAUAAGCUUCUUGAUCCCAAGGUCUGCCGCGAUUCUAAGUCCGGCAAGCAAACCUUCAUACUCUGCAGUAUUGUUGGUUUCCUACUCCUUGGGAAAGUGCAUCUGGAUGACGUACUUGAGGUGUUCUCCGGUGGGUGCGACAAGUAACACGCCCGCACCGGCGCCUUGCAGCGAGAAGGCACCGUCGAAGUACAUGAUCCAUUCUUUGCUUGCCUCCUUGACGGGGAUGCUCGUCUCUGGAAUUUCCUCAUCAGGUGUUGGCGUCCAUUCUGCUAUAAAUUCUGCCAAUGCUCGGCUUUGAAUAGUUGAAGUGCUUUCAAACUUGAGGCCAAAGCUUGACAAUUCCAGAGCCCACUCGACAAUCCUGCAUGUUGCUUCUGGAUUCUGUAAUAUCCUCUUCAACGGAAAGCGAGUGACAAUUGUAAUCUCAUGUGCUUGAAAGUAAUGGCGCAGCUUUCUUGAGGCCAUGAGAAGGCCGAAAAGCAGCUUCUGCACGCCAGAGUACCUUGAUCUAGCCCCCUACAGAAGGGAACUGACAAAGUAAACUGGGCGCUGCACCAUUUUCUUCUGCUUCUCGUCUUGUGGUUGCACAGAUCCAUCCUUGUCGGGAUCAGAGCUUGUCGGGGAAGCCCCCUGCUUGUCGCUGGAUGUGCUUGCUGCGGCCGCUGGCUCAUCAUCUGCCUCCCUCUCCGCUACUAACGCAGCACUAACCACUUGAUUGGUUGCCGCUAGAUAUAGCAGCAACUUCUCUUGUGGUUUAGGUGCGACAAGUAUUGGAGUGGAGGACAGAUAUCUCUUCAAGUCCUGCAGCGCAGCCUCCGCUUCCGGAGUCCAUUUCAUUGGACCUGCCUUUUUCAAAAUUUCGAAAAAUGGCAGGGCGCGCUCAGCAGACUUAGAGAUGAACCUGCUGAGAGCAGCCACGCAGCCGGCAAGCUUUCGUACAUCCUUGACGCGCUUCGGUGCUUCGAUCUGCUCAAUGGCCUUGAUCUUGUCGGGGUUAGCUUCAAUCCCCCGCUGAGACACAAAGAACCCGAGAAGCUUGCCGGAAGGGACUCCAAACACACACUUCUCGGGGUUGAGCUUGAGAUUGAUCUUGCGCAAAUUUGCAAAGGUCUCGUCCAAAUCUUGAAUCAGAGUUGCUCUGUCUUUGCUCUUGACCACUAUGUCAUCCAUGUAAGCUUCUACAUUUCUGUGCAACUGUGGCUCAAAAGCUUCGUGAACUACCCUUGCAAAUGUUGAACCAGCAUUCUUUAGUCCGAAGGGCAUCCGUACAAAGCAGUACGUGCCACAUGGAGUAAUGAAUGCGGUUUUCUCCUCAUCUUCUUCUGCCAUGAAGAUCUGAUGAUACCCUGAAUAUGCAUCAAGAAAUGAAAGCAAAUCACAUCCUGCCGUGGAGUCGACAAUUUGAUCAAUGCACGGCAAGGGAAAUGGAUCCUUGGGACAAGCUUUAUUAUCAUCAGUGAAGUCUAUACAAAGCCUCCAUUUUCCGUUCGCCUUGCGCACGACUACAGGAUUGGCCAGCCAUGUUGGAUGGAGCACUCCUCUGACUAGGCCUGCUGCUUCCAACUUCUUGAUCUCUUCUGCAAUGAAUUCUUGGCGCUCCACUACUUGUUUUCUGGCUUUCUUCUUGACGGGCCGCGCGUGAGGACAGACGGCAAGGUGGUGCUCAAUUACUUUCCUGGGAACACCGGGGAUGUCGGAUGGUUGCCAUGCAAACACAUCGACGUUCGCCCGCAGGAAAGCAACGAGCGCGCUUUCCUAUUUAGGAUCAAGCGUGGCACUGAUGGUGAAGGUACCACUAGUGCCGUCCUCCUUGGCGGCCACUUUCUUAGUCUCUGGCGGAGCUGCCUUCGCCUUCUUACACUUGCCAGUGGAGCUCGAUGGUGCGUCCUCGACGGUAGCGCAGCACUCCGAAGAGGUGCGCUUGCCGGAGUGGGCAUCAGAGUUCUUGCCGGACUUGGUCUUUCCUUUCCCCCCGGGAGCUUCGGCGGCAAGUGUCUCGCGUUCUGCUGCGACUGCUGCUUCCCGGUAGAUCUUGUCGGCGCAGAUAAGGGCAUCCUUCUUGUCGCCAGGGACAGAGAUGACACUUAUCGGGCCUGGCAUCUUCAGGACAUUGUAAGCGUAGUGAGAGGCUGCCAUGAACUUGGCAAGUGCUGGACGGCCAAGGAUUCCAUUGUAAGGCAACGGAAAGUCGGCAACGUCGAACGUAACCCUCUCAGUCCUGAAAUUCAAUUCACUGCCAAAUGUUACCGGCAAUGUGAUCUUCCCCUUUGGCUUGCUCCUUCCCGGAUUGAUUCCCCGGAAAGUACCGGUCUCUUCGAGCUCGCUGUCGGGGAUUUGAAGCUUCUGGAGUACCGCGGAGGAGAUCAGAUUCAAGCCGGCCCCGCCGUCAACUAGCAUCUUUGUGACCUUGAGGUUGCGGAUAGUUGGUGAAACCAACAUCGGCAAGCACCCGACCGCAGUGAUGCGAUCAGGGUGGUCCUCAAUGUCAAAGAUGAUAGGCGUGCUAGACCACUUCAGGGGCUUGCGCGACUCAACUGAUGGUUCUGCUGCAUUAACUUCUCGCACUCACUGCUUGAGCUGGCAAUGCGAAGCAUGCAGAGAAGCACCACCGUCAACGCACAGAACCUCUGUUGCUUUCUGAAACUCCUGCUCGUCGGCCUCGUCAUCAUCCAUGUCCUCUUCUUCGUCUUCAUCUUCAUCCUUGUCGCGGCCACGGGGAGGCCUGUCUCCUUGCCGUUGCUUGGCCUUGCCGCGGCGUCCUCCCCGGUCGGGACGCUUCUUGCCGGAUCCGCCAGUACCUUCUUGGGCUUUCUCUUUGUCGCGUCGCUCGUACUCAGCCUUCUGCAGCUCCACGAGCUGCUCAACUUUCUUGCAACUUUGGAGGUCAUGGCCCUUGGUACGGUGAAUCUUGCAGUACUGCUUGUCGGAGCCGCCCUGCUUGUCGGCGGCUGCCACAGGUUCUGUUUCCUUGGCGCUACCUCCAUUGCCGGACUGCUUGACGGCUACCACAUCUUUGCCUUUCCUUCUUCUGUUGUUCCGCCGCCGGUUUUUCUUUGUCGGGGCAGCAUCCUCACUGUCAGACCCCCCUGCUCCUGUGUUUUCUCCGGGGAGUUUUCUUCCUUCCUCAGCAUGUGCACACUUGUCGGCCAGGGCAUAGAGCUCACUGACGUCUCUUAUCUUGCACAUCGCCAUCUCCUCCCGCAUCCUGCGGUUAUGCACGUUCUGAUGGAACGCGUUGAUGACCGCGGCGGGGUGGACAUCUGGGAUGUUGCGCUGCACUUGGCUGAAUCUUUGUAUGUACUUGCGCAGGGGCUCUCCUUCCUUCUGGGCGAGCAGAUGCAAAUCACUCUCCUGGCCAUGAGGCUUGUGGCCACCCGUGAAGGCGCCGACAAACUGAUGGCACAGGUCCGCCCAUGAGGAGAUGGAGUUGUCCGGCAAGUGCAUGAGCCAGGAUCUGACAUUGGGCUUGAGCACCAGUGGGAAGUAGUUGGCAAGGAUCUUCUCGUCGCGUCCCCCAGCAGCUUGCACCGCGAUGGUGUAGAUGCUGAGGAACUCCGACGGAUGCAACCUGCCAUCAUACUUCUCCGGUACAUCUGGCUUGAAGUUCUUGGUACUGGGCCACUGGACUUGCCGCAGCUCACGAGUAAACGCAGGGCAACCUACCGCGUACGGCAAGUCGCCCGAUUCCCCUGGCGCAUGCAUGUCAACAGCAGGCCCAGCGCGCUGGUUUGAUUGACGCCGCGCUUCUCUUCGACGCUCGAUGCGGGUACGAGCGUCUUCAUGUUGUCAUUCUUGAAGAACUUGGCGUUGAUCGCGACGAGCUCGUGGAUCUGAUGACGCCGUGGAGUCGGUGUCGUGGUUGAUCCGGCGAGUCGGCGAUCUUGGCCUUAGGGGCGGGGAGUGCAUGGCGGUUGCACCUCCACCAGCUUCGUCGCCACCAGCUCGCGCCCGGCGAUCUUUCCGCGGCGGCGACGCGCUCGGCUGUUGCGGAGUGUCGCCGUUGGCGUAGCCGAUGAGACUCUGAAUGGUGGCCCUCCAUUCGUCGAUUCUGUCCGACGCCGGAGGGUAAUCCAGGAGCAACUGAGCUCGCGCCAAAGCUUCUGCCGGAGUGGUGGGCGGGCAUGGCGGACGUCGCGAGGAGCAGGAUGUGCUCGGACUUCUAAUCAUGUCAGAAGGAGCCGUGUCCCGUCCAGACGACCGUACCCCGCUCGCGCCAGCACGCUGGCGUGUGUGCUGGUCUAGAGCGUCCCGAGAUCCCCCAGCUUGAACUUGGCCCAUCAUACGAAUGGCACUGCGAGUGCCAUGACGCUCUUGGUCCGGCGCCUCAUGAGAUGGCCGCGGAACGAUUGCGGACGUAGAGGCAUGCGCCGCCUUGCCCUUGGACUUGGCGACACCGUGAGCUUCCUCGUCGACGUCCAUUCUGUCUCCGGCGUCCAUUCCACCACCUGUUUGUUCCAGUGAUGGUGGAAGUGAUGCGGACGGAGCUGUUGUCUCCGAAGCCUUCUUCUUCGAUGGCAUGUCGAAGAUGAUGAUGAUGAACUGGCUCGCGUGAACGCCGGAUCGGGUUCACACAACCUCGACGCCCCCUACCUGGCGCGCCAAAGAUGUUGUGGGAAACGAACACCUAUGGGGCAAAGGGCCCCUUUCGGUCCGGCAGGGAGCGGAGGGCGCACGAAGAGCGGAUCGAGGCGGAGCACGCGAGCGAUCUUUACCCAGCUUCGGAGCUCUCCGGAGAGAUAAUACUCCUACUGCUGCUUUGUGGUUGUAUUCUGCCCUUGCUCGAGAGCAUGGGAGCCUUUUGUUUCCAAUGGGUCGAACCUCGUCUGUGGUUCUCCUGGUCCGAACCCCCUCUACGUUGCGCGUGGGCCUCCUUUUAUAUGCAAAGAAGGGGUCACCGACAGGUGGCAACACAGAGAAGGGUACAAAUGUAAAAAACGAGGUGGUUGGUACAGUUAUUUGUACAGUGCAUCCUACCUAACCCUGACGGCAGGGGACAAGGGCAUUAAAUGCCCGUCUGAGUCGCCCAAACAGUGCAGAAAAGCGACCGCUAGGGGCGGCACUGCUUGCCACGAUGGCCUUCUCGUCAUCUCCACUUGCCACCUCGCACCGCUUGGCUACGCAACCUCCCGACACGUGCGCCCGGAAUGGUCUCAGGGUGACACGCCGAAGAGGUGCGCUGGAGCAUGGGCACGGAGUGGUGGCUUCGCCGCGGCAAGCGCCUUGCCGCGGUUGUUGUCUUGUCACACCCGAAAGCUUGUUGCUCGUCGAGUCUUGCCGGGACGCGCGGCGCGUCGCGGCAAGUUCUUUGAAGUGCCCUGGUUGGCCUUCCCGGCAAGCUCCUCUUGCCGGGGCCUUGUCCUUCCCGGAAAGCUCCUCUUGCCUGAGCCUUGUCUUCUCAGUUAAAACACUUUGUUCUUGAAUGGCAUCACUAGGGACUACGGAGGAUCUUGGCGGACACCCGGCGAGCCCUGCCGUGGGACGCUGCAACUACCCGUGCACAAGUUCGGGAUACUAAGGUACCCUUACUCUAGUACACCGACAAUAAUAAACAUUUAUCAUGAAAUAAGGAAAUAAAUAAUAGCUUUAUUAUUGCCGCUAGGGCAUAUUUCCUUCAGUAUUUGCUUUUAUCUAUGUAGGUACUGUUAACAAGGUUAUGCGUGGUUCUCCUACUGGAUUGGUAACCUUGGUUCUUGACUGAGGGAAAUACUUGUAUCUACUGUACUGCUUCAUCCUCUCCUCUUCGAGGAAAUCCCAAUGCAGCUCACAAGUAGCACUAUACGCCAAAAUAAUCCGAGAUAGUAUUCAUACACAUAUUUCAAGUUUAGAACUUGAUGGACCCUCUGAAAGACUUCAAGUCUAAAGUGUAGUUAUGGAUCUAUAGAUUGACAAAGAUAAAAAUGUUUUAUGAUGCUUGACUUGUUGCAAAUAGUUUAUGACAAGAUCAAGGAAUUGAUUAUGACAAGAUUGUCUCAUCAUAAUAAUACUUAAAGUCAAUUCUGAUUAAACUAGCGAUUACUGAAUAUUUCAGUUAUGAGAUAUGAUAGAUGGAUGUCAAAAUGAUUCCCAUGAGAUGGAAUAGGACCAAGGUUGUAUAUUUGAUACGGACAUACGGUCCAAGAUAAUUUUGUCGAUCCAGAGGAUGCUAGUAAGUGUGUAAACUUCAAGAGAUUAUGUAAUGAUCUGAAGCAAGCAUAGUGGAAUUGGAAUCUUUGUUUUGAUGAAUUGAUCAAAUAAUAUGAUUUCAUCGAUAGAAACAAAGAUGCUUGUAUUUACAAUAAAGUAAGUAGGAGCAUGAUAAUAUUUCUAAACAUUGUGUGUGCAUAACACAUUGUUGAUUGGAAAUUAUAUAAAUUUCCUGACACGGAUUAAUACUUUAUUGAAACUAGUUUUCAGUAAAGUACUUAGGCAAUAUAGUCCUUGUAUUAUGCAUUGUAAUCUAUGGAGAUAGUAGUGUCUAAUCAGGGCUUAGCCAAAAUACAUACUGACAAAGUACUAAAGCAGUUUAGUAGGAAAAACGCCAAGAAGAGUUUCUUGUAAAAGUCACAUGGAAGGAGUUCUUAGCAAGAAUCGGUAUCUUGAAAUAUUGAUGAGUGAAAUAUAUGAUUUCAAUCACACUUGUGUUAAUUCCAUGGCAUGUAGAUAACCAGAUAUGUCUAGUACUCCAAGUAAGUUGUGAGUAAAGUUACCAAAAUGGUCAAAUUGUUGAUCAUAAGACAAAAGUGAAAAUGUCGUGUCGCAUACGUAGAAAUUGAAGAGAUUUUUCUGAGGAGUAACAUCAAUACAUGCUUGGUGUAAGUAGUACAUCGAAAAAAUUCAAUCGGUGCUCCAAGAGAAUUUCGAUUUCAAUUAAAUGAUUUAUGGUCGCACUGUAAGUUAGAAUUGGUCCAAAAAGGGUUAUGGUGGUGAAUUCUAUAACAGAACUGAGUAUAUUGUCGCUUUACAAGCAAAAAUAGAGGAUGAUGAAUCAAUGGUUCAUUUAUGAACUUGAUGGUUCUAUAGCUCAAUCUAAGGAAUCAAAGGUCCUGUCGGUGAUUCAAUAUAUACUAAGCUUGUUUCACAUAAAUUAUGAAUUCAUGUGGAAGCAUGAUAGAUGCAUAGAUAUGCAAAUUAUACUCACGGAUCUGAAGUUGUCAAGAUCUGAUAGGAUGAAGGUUCUACCAAGAAAAGCAUAAACAAACACCACAUUGCCAUUGGUGUAAAAUAAAAUAUGCUAACUAGAUUACUGACUCUAGUGCAAGUGGGAGACUAUUGGCAAUAUGUCCUAAAAGCAAUAGUAUUUUUAUUAUUAUAUUUCUGUGUUCAUGAUUAAAGAGUUUGUAUUCUAUACUGUCAUGGAAUUAACACGGCAGAUGUCCUUAGUGUCAGGACUUAGUCGCGAGGCGGAGCGCAUCUAUGCGGUAGCUUGGGAGGGGUUGAUGGGGACGAGAGACGCAACACACAAGGCAAGAAUUUAGACAGCUUCGGGCCCCGGGAAACAUCAUCCGGAAUAGCCCAACAUGAUGUUUGAGGCUAGGUCUCAUUAUGCUCAUAAGGGAGUCGCCGUAAGCCGGCUCUCCUCUUUCUGUCUAGCCCUAGAUAUUGUUUCUUGUUGCUUGUCCCUCUUUGGGGAGCCCUGCCCCUCCUUAUAUAAGUUAGAGGGGCGGGUUUACAUCUGGAGUCCAAAUAGGAUUGGACGAGCCUAUCUUCUACUACAAGCCGGAUACAAGUCCGGGUCUUGAUUCCUUGUAAGGGAGAUAUUCCUCACGCCUUUCCUCUUAAGCCGGCCUACCUUAACGUAAGCCGGCCUUCUGGGCCUUGAGCCUCCUGGGCCCCCGGGUCUUGUCGCUCCUCUGAUCCGCUUGCCAGGUCACCCAUAAGUCACCUGAAUCGGGCGGGUCACUUAGUGAGUCGCCAAGUCCGGCCGGGUUAUACUUCCGGCCGGGUUACACCGCGGGGUAUAUCCCCGACAUUAGCCCCCAAGUUUAGCUUGGACGUAUCCAUGGUAAACUUAUGCUGCAAAAUAAACACAAGAACAAAUUUGACAGGUUGUGCUCCGGGUUAAGAAUUCUUGUAAACCGGCACCUGAACAUCCUUAAGUCCUUGUCACUUCCUUUUUCUAGAAAAUCCGGGUCAAUAGACCAGCUUCACAAUCAAUUUUCUUGUAAAAGAAAUAUUGUAAACAAAUAAUCCAUUUGAGUCGGCUUCCACGGCGCCGGGUUAAAUAAUUUUGGUCUGCAAAUACUCAUCUGAUAUUCAGCCGGCUUGAAGAUGUAAAACUUGCCGGUUUAUCAUUACCAAAAACUGCCAGAUUAUAAAACAGACUAUGACGGGUCAUAAUUGUUGUUGACACCGGUUUAUGUAAUUGAUCCUCCUGAUUUGCUCAAAACUGAUAAUUUGAAAAUUUUCUCCCUUAUAUUCAUAUUACCUGUAGCCCCCAAGUCUUGAGCAGAACAAAGUGAUGGUUUAAGACUUGCUCCAAUAAAUGUUGCAACCUUGAAGAAAUGUGGUUUAUUCAUCUCAAUCAUAUAAGCUGAAUAUUCCACACAUGUAGCCCCCAAGUGUCGGGCUGUCAUGCUUGCAGCAACCUGGGACUUGUAAUUGCUUUAUGCUCAUGAAAACUUCAACCAAUGUAGCCCCCAAGGGCCGGGUCAUUAUGCAAAUAAUGAACAGGGACUUUGUAGAUAUAACCAUAUAAAUUUGAACAGCAAUGUGUAGCCCCCAAGGGCCGGCUUAGUAAGAUAAUACUGAUCUGGGACUUUGUAUAUAAUUGAUAAUAACAUCAUAUAAUAUAGUCUCCACCGUGGGGCUUGAACCCACGUCCACAAGGUUAAGAGCCUUGUACUUCACCAACUAAAUAGUGGACCGUUCAAUAUAAUGGAUUAAUGCUUGUGUACCUUGAAUUUUUGACAGGAGCAAUUGGUAGCCCCCAAUGGCCGGCUCAUUACAAUGGGAUGAGUCGGGUCUUCAAUAAGUUGAUCAAAAAAUGACUUUACAUUAGCCCCCAAGUGCCAUGGUGUAUGCUGGCAGUGACAUGGGACUUGCCUAUUUGAUAUAAUCCCAAUCUGAAUAAUAUAGCCCCCAAGUGCUGGGUCGUAAGCCUGCAGCGACUCGGGACUAUUCCUUCCAUUGUAGAAUAAAUCAUAUCCAUUGAUAAAAAUAAUAGCGGUUGUGCUAAAGCGACUUUGAAAACCUCAAUCAUAGCACUGGUUAUUGAUAAUCACAAUAAAAAUCCAGCCAUGUUGGCUAUUCGAGAUUUAAAUAAUAUAAUCCGGUAUGAAAACCUCAAUCAUUCAAUAUCAUCAUGAAAAUCCAGUCAGUUUUGGCUAUUAAAGAUUUGAAUACCUCAUCGGUUGACAAGUAAAUCCGGAGUUUAAAUACUCGGUGGCUCUUGGCCGAUGGCGAUUUAAUACGCCUCCAUUGUAAGCCGGAAUUUUUAUAACCCGGCGGCUUAUAGCCUUUGAGAAAAAUCCAGAACGGAUCAUCAUUUUGAAGCAUCAACUUUGGUAAUGAGCUUGAACUUAAUCAUUUACAUGUCAUAUUUCUGCAAAUCCUGCAAAGAGUUUAAACAGCAUAUGCCCUGGCGACUUAUCGUCAAAAACCAGGGCGGGUAAUCACCCAAAUGUAGUCUUAUCCUGUACACAAGUAGAUCACAAGAUCCCUAUGAUCCUUUGAAUGAUACCGCCGGUUUAUGUGACCCGGACAGUGAAGUUAAUAACUCAACUCUGUAAGAGCCGGCACAUAUGAUAUUUGUGACAACUCAAAUACUUGCGAUUGUAUAAAGCUGUAGAAGAAACAGACAAAAUUUUGAGGCUUCUGAUUCGAAUACGAUCAGUAAACCGUUCCAAAGGGGUUAAGCUAAGAUUCGAAUACGAUCAUAUAGCCCCCGGUGGCUUUGGCGAUGUCGAUCAAGUGGGUAUCGACAGCUAUGUUCUCUUUGGUUCGAAUACGACCUAUGUUUGAACAGGAAGCCCCCAAGUGACCAUAAGAGUUGUUUAAUGACGUUGGUUCGAAUAUGACCCACGUCAGACCCAAAGGGGUUAAGCUAUGAUUCAGAUAUGAUCAAGAAGCCCCCUAGUGGAUUUGGAAGUAUGCCGAUCAAGAGGGUAUCGACAGCUAUGUUCUCUUUGGUUCGAAUACGACCUAUGUUUGAACAGGAAGCCCCCAAGUGAUCAUAUAAGUUUUGGCAUUGCGCCAAUCAAGAGGGUACUGAUAGCUAUGCUCGAUGAGCAAGAAGCCCCCAAGUGAUCAUAAUAAGAUAAGCCAUAAGGUAGGAUACCCAAGUUUGAACCGCGCAUCAUGGCAGCAAGUUCUUUUGGCAACCUUUAAUAAUUUCUGAGAACUCGAACUUGCGAGAGAUUAAUGCUUUUUGAACCGGAACUUUAAACCGGAUUUGAAAGCUUUAAAAAUUUGUGAAGGACAAAUUUACCUUGAACCGGAUUCGAGAGCUUCAAAAAUUUGUGAGGAACAAAUUUACUCUGGGUCGGCUUUUGAACCGGAUUUAAGAGCUUCAGUGCUUUGUGGGAGAAAGAUGUCUCUUGAACCGGAUUUUAAACCAGAGUCCUUAUUUUGAGCCAGAAAUCUUCUGACAGCUUUUAAAUUUUCAUCGAUCUAGCAGUAAUCUCCGGGGCCCAGGUUAUUUUCCCUUUAAUGACCUGGAGUUCUUGAAUUAAUUGAAACCGACUAAUUUUGCCGAGUCAUAUCAUUGUAGCCCCGAGUCUUAAGACGACUUGAGGAGUUGGCUUGAGAUUCUCCAUAAUUAACCGUGAUAUAGACCAGUUUGAAUCCUGCAUGGGACAACUUGCAAACCAAAGUAAUUGCUCUUUUGAAGAAAAUAAUAUGUAAUAUAAAAUAUAUUGGAUGGAUUUUACCUGAUAUGUUAGGCUAGUGAUUAUCCACAGAAGGUUGAGGUGAUUGCGGCGGGUUAUAAAUGAUCCCGUAUGAACCGUGUCAGCAACUCGGCCAAUGGUUCCUUCCAACUGGCUGUUUGAAGUUAACCAAAUCAUAGUGCCGGCGACUUGUGCACCUAUCCAUUGAGCCAUCCAGUGCAGACGGUGGUUGAUAAUAUAUGAUAAUUCGCCUCCAAUUUGUUGGAAGAGAAAACCGGGCUUCCCAAGUAGUGACUUGCUCAUACUUAAUAAACAGCUCAUCCAGACAAGUGCGGCUCGGUGUGUCGAUAUAGACCAGGCCGCGAGAGACGGACGGUAAAGACGAUCGUAACAUCAGAGGCGGCAUAGACAGAUGAACCGGUCGUGGCGUUGUAAGCCAGUGCACACGGGCAAGUUGUCCUCCUUGUUGUAAGCCGGCAUGGUCGCGAGAAACGGUCACGACGUUGUAAGCCGGUGCGGGAGUCUGUUGAGUAACGACGACCACCUGUGCCAAAAGAUGUUGGCGUGCCUCCAUCUCCGCGGUAUAAUAUCACUUUUUGUCAUAAAUAAUUUCCCUGCAUCAACAACAUUGCAGACCAAAACAGAGAUAAACUGCUCUUUGACAAAAAAUAAUAUGUACCAAUAAAAUAUAUUUUAGAUGGAUAUCACCUGAUGUGCCAGGCCGGAAAUAAUCCGCCAUGAAUUGAUGAUCGUUAGGUGAAGUUGAAGUCGCUCACGGGUGAACCGGCCACAUCGUGGUAAACCGAUGCGGACGGGUGAGUCGGCCACGACGUUUGUAAGCUGGUGCAGACAGCGAGUCGGCCACAACGCAUGUAAGCUAGCGCGGACACGUGAACCGCCACGAGGGCAGAUGAGCGAGUCGUCCGUGGCGUUGUAAGUGGGCGCGGACGGUAAGCCGGCCACAACAUUGUAAGCCGGUGCGGGAGUCUAUUGAGUAAGGACAACCACAUGUGCCGAAUAAUGUUGGCACGCCUUCAUCUCCGUGGUAUAAUGCCACCUUGUAAUGGAUAAUUCUCCUACGCACAAAAAAUAUUGCAGGAUAGAGUAAUUGUUCUUAAACAAUUUAAUACGUGUUGAUAAAAUAUAUAGAACAGAUAGCAGCUGGUGAUUUGUUCGGACAACCUUUGAUCCGUAUAUAGAGUGUGUAGAUGACUUCUGAGAAUCUUUGACCAUUAUAAUCCAACAAGAGGCCCUUCUGAACCAUCCAUUAAAAAACGCACGGACGGCUGUUUGACUGGUAUUUUUUUUUGCCGUGAGAGGAGUUCCCUUCCUCAAAAAGAGACAUAUUGUUGUGUGCUGCUGUGGUUUUCAACUGCUUGACAGUAGCAGGCCAUUAAAGUCAUGUAGUAGUAGUAGAAAAUCAGCACGCACAGCCUUUGCCUUCUCGUCAAGCUGUUGUCCCUCCUAUAAACAAAAACGGGCCAUAAUCUCAAAGGCAAAGCAGGGCCGGUGAGUGAGGAGGUGAGGCUGUAGCGGUAAUUUUAAAGGGACUGCGACCACGCAACAGAUGCAACAGCGAGGCUCGUCGGCUAAUGGCACAGCCGUGACCGCAACAGCGGCGACCUGGCGAUGCAGCGCGACAGCGGCGAGGGUCGUAGUCACAGCUCAAAGGCGGCUUGCGGCGCGGCCGGCUCAAGGCGACCCAGGGCAGCUUCAGCGCCUAGCAGCAGCGGAGACUUGGUGUUUAAAACGGGGCGAUCCGGCGACUUGGCCAGGCAAUAACAGCAACUAUUCUGGGCGGCUCUUGGCGGAGACAUCGCUCGAACGGCGACUCAGAAACAGCAAGGCAGGUUCAAUCCGGCGGCACAGACCAGCGAAUGCGGCCACUUGGACGGGGCAGUGGUGAUGGUGGUUUAGAGGCAAGGCCACGGAGAAGCGGAGGCAGCAUGACGAGACCCGGGCGACUCGAUGGCGUAAGUGACAGCAGCGGGUCAAGGCCGCAGCGGCGUGGCAGCUCAAGGCGGGUCGGGACGCAGCUGCGGGGGCGACGCCGGUGCAGGCAGCAGAGGCGGGCAGCCGGCUCACAGCCAGGGGAAGCCCGAGGCCUGCUCCAGCAGGUGCCGCGACGACUCUUAGUCACUGGGGGAGGCUGAAACGAGGUUACGGCGGCUCGGCGCCGCUUGCCGCUGCGGAGGCCCGUGACGAAGCAGAGCAAGGUGGCUCGCAGCUGACUCUGGACAUCUCUCAGUCACCGGGGCGAAGGCGAAAUCCGGCGGGCUGAAGAAGUGGAUCCGCGAGGCGGAACGAGGUAAAUCUGAAUCACGGCUCGCUCCGUUUCCGGGUCGUGGGCAUCUCCCCCCUUUUUUAUGGUAAUUUUCCCCUAAUGGACUUGAGUGCCCUGUUGAUUCCGUGAGAUGACUUGUCUUCAUCUUGGUCUCCGUCCAGCACAUGACAAGCACUAGUUGUAUUAGUACUUUGAUUUAAGAAGCGAUUUAGAUCCUCACGUGAGGACGUGGUAGCUGGGAGCGACUCGCAAUUUUACCACUUGCCAGGCGCACAGUACGCUUCAAAAAUUCCUCUUGUCCUUUUGUCGGUCUUGGUAAUCUGAUUCUUGCGCUGAUCGAUCUCAGACACGUCCUCGACUUGCAACAGAGGCGAUGCACCCGAUGCAAACUAAUUUUCCCUUGACCAGGCGGCAGCUCGUGACGCAACACAAGAGGGGUCAGCGGGUCGCUCAGUGGUAGCUUGAAUAAUUGCCUCCAGAUUCGAGGAAUCACCGGUCACGUUCAUCCAUGCAUAACCCUAAUUUCUCUUGACCUCAAAUCUUAAAAAAUACAAAUCCAAACCGAUGAAUUUGAAGCUGACGUAGAUCCUUUCAAAUCAGAUCCUCUUCAUUGAAAAAUUAUGAACUUCUCGAUCCCUGUGAGAGAUCCCUCCAAGAACUCAACACCACCAUGCGCAAGCCCCACGGUGGGUGCCAACUGUCAUGGAAUUAACACGGCAGAUGUCCUCAGCGUCAGGACUUAGUCGCGAGGCGGAACGCAUCUAUGCGGUAGCUUGAGAGGGGUUGAUCGGGACGAGAGACGCAACAUGCAAGGCAAGAAUUUAGAUAGCUUCGGGCCCCGGGAAACAUCAUCCGGAAUAGCCCUACAUGUUGUUUGAGGCUAGGUCUCAUUAUGCUCAUAAGGGAGUCGCCGUAAGCCGGCUCUCCUCUUUCUGUCUAGCCCUAGAUAUUGUUUCUUGUUGCUUGUCCCUCUUUGGGGAGCCCUGCCCCUCCUUAUAUAAGUUAGAGGGGCGGGUUUACAUGUGGAGUCCAAAUAGGAUUGGACGAGCCUAUCUUCUACUACAAGCCGGAUACAAGUCCGGGUCUUGAUUCCUUGUAAGGGAGAUAUUCCUCACGCCUUUCCUCUUAAGCCGGCCUACCAUAACGUAAGCCGGCAUUCUGGGCCUUGAGCCUCCUGGGCCCCCGGGUCUUGUCGCUCCUCUGAUCCGCUUGCCAGGUCACCCAUAAGUCACCUGAAUCGGGCGGGUCACUUAGUGAGUCGCCAAGUCCGGCCGGGUUAUACUUCCGGUCGGGUUACACCGCGGGGCAUAUCCCCAACAUAUACUAUAACUGCUAUGAUCCUGGAAUAUGGGAUUCAGUGGAAAACUCAUAUGCACGUGUGGAAUGAUAAAAGGUUAAAAAAAGUUUCCUAGUCUUGCCUCUAGGACUAUCUCAAGUGUUAUUGGUGAUCAUGUUUUUCGGAUCUUAGGAUAUCGUUAAGUGUAAUGGUAGUCCUAAAACAACAUUGUGAUUAUGACAUUGGAAGAACAGUCAUAUUGAAUGGACCCAAACUUGUAUGUUAUGAAUUGAGUUAAUAUCGUAUGUAAUAAAUUGUAGAGAGUAUCGUAGUCACUUCUUACCGUACGGUCGGCUUUGGAGUUUCUCAAAUAUCACCAGUAACGCGGUGCUCAUAAUGACAACUUACAGGUUCAUUGGAAAGUUUGACAAGGGACUAGAUAGCUCGAGAGUGGGAUUUGCUCCCCCGACGAUGGAGAGAUAUUCUUAGGGCAUUCUCGGUGUGACAGCAUCCAUCAUCGUCUGGCCAGACAUAGGUGACUUCUUCACGGGGAUGCCGGAACACAAUAAUGAGAAAGAAGAACAAAAUGAGUAAGGAGGAUAACGGUAUAGUGAGAAUGUGAUGACCUGGGAGGAUACCAGCGCAUCCUGGGUUUUGUGAAGUAUCACGAAGCGAAGGAAACAUCACAUGAUAGCCAAAGUUUCACUCAAAUAUCAUUCAUGUUCUCGUAGGGAUUGAUAUGGACGUCCACGGUUCCGCUGUCGGACAUUGAACGAAGGGGUUUCGUUCAUGUAUGUGAGUUACUGAACCUACAGGGUUCACAAGCUUAAGGCAAUCAUGAUUUGAUGAGUGUUAGUAGGACGGGAGUGAUGAUAACAUAUUUGUGUAAUUGUUUCAUUAAUAUUCGGAAUAGUUCCGAGAGGAUCCAGAAGCAUUUCGGGGUCACCGGAAGGGUUUCAGAGAGUAUCGGGUAAUACCAGGUAUUACCGAAAAUAAUAUAUAGGUGGAAAAUGUUUCCGGGGAUAUUAAAUUAUAUAUAAAAGGGUCUGGUAUUUAUUAGAAGUCUUCUAUAUUUAAUUUAAUACAAACCGGCCUUAAAAAGCCAAACCGGAGAAGAAAACUUGGGCCAACUUGGCCCAAGUGGAGGACCCCCCCCCCCCCUUAUGGAUGGAGGAGGCCGAAUUGGAAUAGGGAGGAGUUGGACUCCUCCCCUAUGGACGGCGCCCCAAGGACGCUCCUUCCCUCCUUGGUGGCUGCCCUCUCCAUCUCCUCUAACCUAUAUAUACUAGGGGUUUUGCUCUAUUGAGACACAAGUUUGGAGCCUCCUCUAGUCCCUCUAGUUCUAGUUCUAGUCGAUCCUACUUGAUCUUAGAGCUAGACAAAUCCUCUAAUCCUCAUAAUUAUAAGUCGAUUGUUGUUCUAAUCUCCUCCCUCUAAUUCUUCAGUGAUGAUUAGUUCUGGACGGUGAAGUGCUGCCGGAUCAUGAAGGCUGCACGCUUGCAACCAACUAGAGAGGCCGUGAUUUCAGUCUUUUGUUCGAGGGACUAUUCGUGGGUGGUUCGCGGGAUCGUUCAUAGACGGUUCGAGGGACUCCAAGUACGACCUACAUCGACACGUUCUUCUUCCGCUGCAACUCGGUGACGAUAGCGAUCAUGAUCUCAACCCGUUAUGCAUCUUCAUAUUUAUCUUGGGUGUGCAUAUGUGCGAUUUUUUCUAUUUUCUACUAAGUUUCCCAAUAGUACCUGCCACAUCCUCCUUAGGGGUGUCGUCUUGGAUUCCUCAUCUUUGUUAAACCUUGGUGGCUAUUGUUUUCCUAUGAUUUCAUCAUCGGCUAGGCAGGUGCACGGCCUCGGGGUCGACAAGGAAGUCGGAGUGAUGGCUCCAAGGAGAACCUUAGUGUUGUAGAGUGUCAAAUCUGGUCGCGUGGGUGGCAGAGUCGUUAGCUCGUGUGAACACGAUCUUGGGGUCGGUGGGGAAGUUGGAGUGGCGGCUUUGAAGAGUAGUUAUGUGUUGUGAGCGUCUGAUUUGGUCGCAUGGGCAGGAGAGUUGUCAACUUGUGUGGAGCGUGGCCUCAGGGCCGGUGUGUGUGUGUUUGUCGAGGUCUAUAAGUCGUAGUGGCGGCUCCGGGUCGGGUGUUUGGGUGUCUACUCUGGUUUCUUGGGCGAUAGAGUCGUCGACUCAUUUGGUCACCAGUUUCGGGGCUGGUGUGUGUUCGUUGUAUAGGUUUUCGGACAGUUUUCCUUAUAAACUAACCAAUUCUCUUCAUCUUAAUGAAAAGGCGGAGCUCUUGUUAGUUGCUCAAAAGGAAAUGAAGGAGAAGAAAAAACAACAACCAUAUUGUUAUCUCUCGAACAUUAUAAGACUAAAUCGACAUUGAAGUUUGUUCGAUUGCACCAUGUAACAAAAAUCUGAGAGGCCCAAGUCAAGGGGAAAACUCUUUCAGAAUAUAUGUAACAUCCCAAUUUUCAAUUUGGAUGUUAUACAUAGAUCAUCAUAUGCAUAUCACAUUUUAUUUGCAUUUGGUUGAGAUCCUCGGAAUCUUCAGCAACUCAAGGACCCAAGGAGAGAGUUGGAGAUUUCAUAAAAUUUUCAUAUUUGAAUUUAUUUCAAAUUUGAAAAGAGGAUCAAUUUGAUUUUAAUAAUUUCUCUCCAAUUAUUUUUCAACAAUAAAAAUAAAUGAGAGAAGAUAAUAUGACUUCUUCAAAACAGAGGAGAAAUAUUGGAGAAGAAAUGUUGAAAUCAAAUAACUAUUUUAUUUGUAUUUUAGUUGCAGUUUUAUUUGAAUUAGAGAAAAACAUGCAUUUUUAAAAAAAUUGCAUUUAGUCCAGAAAAAUGUUCAUCUUGUCCCAAAUAUUAGUUUUGGACGGUGAAAAUUGUUUCUAGAAUUUUUAGAAUUUUAUUAAUAAUUUAUUAGGAUUUUCUUCGCGGAAAUUGUUUUAAAAAAAAUCUUCCUGGGCCGGCCCAGCCGAGCCGGGCCACCUACCCAGCGCCGCGCCGCCGCCUUCCUCCCGCUCGAGAGUCUCGGCCGCCGCUGCGGUGGAGUCCAGCUCGGACUCCACCAUCGCCCGACGCCGCCCCCUCCCCAAGAGAGCCCCCCGGCCCUUUAUAAGGAGCCGACCCCGGCCCCCUUCCACCUCGUCAGCCACCACCGCCUGCGCCACCGCUGCCGCUUUUGCUCGUCGUCGCCUGCCGCUAGCUGCUGCCACCCCGCGUCGCCGCCGUCGCCCCGAGUCGUCGCCGCCGCCCGCCGCCGCCGCCGCCCGCCCAGUCGGAUUCUUCCGCCACCCGAUGCCAAACCCGCCGGAUCUCGUCGACGCCAGUUGACCGGUAUAAGCCGCCGGUCUUUUCUCGGUUUAGUUCGAUUUCUUUAGUUUUGGUUUAUUAGGUUUAGAUUGUUUUUUUUUAUUUUAGUUCGUUAGUUAGCGAACGUUCACCCGUUAGUUUCUUAUAGUGAACGAAUUCGUUCGUUACGAUCAGUUAGCCAACGUUCGUUCUGUAGAUUUUUCCUUUUAGUUUUAUUUUUCGGUUAGGGACCUAUCCGCGAAUAGUUUCUCGUGAUCUAGCCCCUGAUCUUAAAACUAGCGUAACUUUUAGCUUGUUUAUCCAAAUUAGAUGAAACCAACGCCUAAAUCUUCGUAAAUAUCUCUUCUUUAUAGUAAACCAACUUGAACAUGAUUUUUAAAAAUUAAAAUUUGAGUUUAGUUCAGAUUAGUUUUCGAUCUUGUUUUGUUUGUAUCUUGAGUUUCGUAGCUCCAUUUGAGUUGUUUGUUUUUGCAAAUCGUAGCUAAUCACAUGUACCUGCUGUUAAGAUCUAAUCCACAUGAAAAUAAUGCUGUUAGGUUUUGUUUUCUAUUUAGUUUAGUCGUUUGCUCGUUUCGAGUUUGAUUUGGAUCUUUUCUCGAUUUAUCUUUGUUUCGUUUGAGUGAUUGCUUAUGUAUGCUACUGUUUGUCUAUGCUAAAUUAUCCUGAGUGCGAAGCUUGUUACUACGAAUCCCUAGAGUUUGCAGCUUGUUAGCAAGUCAAGUUACACUUCGAUCAUACUCUUCUAUACCCAGUUUUUACUAUGCAUUAGUUGUGCCCCUCAAAUAUUUGCAUGAGUAGGAUUGAGACAUGUGGUUUGGUUGUAGUAUUAUGAGGUAGGAACCUAAUACCUUUUGAUCAUCCCGGGAAUAUACAUUAUGCUCUAUUAUUGCUUAGCCAUGCUCGUAGAUGGGGAUUGGAUCGCGAUAUACGUGGAAGUUAUGAGAGUUAUUAAUCUUGGAUAACAUUAAGGUGACAAAUUUAAUACACAUCUGGGUGGAUUGGUUGGGGCACCUGGAGAAUCCAGUGUUUGUCCAUUUGGGAAAUCCCGGAGUACCCGUGUGAUUUUUCCUUGGUUCGCCACCCAAGCUCAAAGGGAUCAUAUGAUAUUUCAUGCCUAGAAACUUCCGUGUGCAGCCACAAGCCAUUAUGGGCUCUGGCAUAGUUGAGUAAGUUGUGUGAGUUCUCGAAGAGGUGGACUAGUAGAUGUAGGGGAAAGUAGGUGUACCGGUCUACUCGGAGUAGAGAGUUAAUGCUUCAGAAAGACUAUGUCUCGAUCUUCCGAUCAUGGAUGCGGUCGAGUCUUGUGGGGAAAAGUGUGCAAACCUCUGCAGAGUGUAUAAACUAAUCAUGGUUAGCCAUGUCCCUGGUUAUGGACAUCUUGGGUAUCUGGAAUUGGAUAUUAUUGUUGAUCUCAUCACUACUUAAUUAAUUGAAUUGGUUUUAAUGAUGAUACUUGUUUAAUUAGGAUUUGAGUUGGAGGAACCUUCUCAAAUAUUGGUACAACUUGGGAGUAGUAAAUAAAAUUUAUUCCUUUGUUGUAGGAAAAAAUUAGCUUUAUGCAAAAUCUUAAACUUAGAGCCUCCACCAGCCAAAUAUUGCAUGUACAUAUAGUUCUUGCAUUCAUUUCUUUACAGUGUAACUCUGCCAGCAUAUUCAAUGUGCUGACCUACACGACUGCAACGUCUCAUGUUGCAGACUACUCAGACGACGUAUAAGGUGCGAUAGGUCGUUGUCGUGCACUCAGCUAUGCUGUCGGAGUUGAUGGACUCAUUUACCUUCGAAGCUUCCGCGGUUAUUUAGUUUAGAUGGCCUUCAGCCAUAUUAUUUUUAUGUAAUCAUACUCUUUAUGAGGACUCGAUGUAAUAAGUGUGUGAUUGAACUCUGUUAUAAUUCCUCAAGUACUGGGUGUGUCAGCAUUACCGAUCCAGGGUUGACACUUAAGCACAGGGACUUCGGUCCAUUGAAAUCGUGGUCGCUACAAUAUAGUGAAACCCAAUCCUCAUAAAAAUACCAACAAGAUCCAAUUAUACCAAAAUAAGAUUACUUAUUGUACUACAAGGAUCAGAUUAGCAAGCGUGUGACGUCAAGUUGUUGCAUUCUAAUAAUUUUGUGGCAAAAAUAAACCAUUUUACCGGUUGUCCCCGUAGGGACACAACUAAUCCAUUUGAUUUGUGUAGUUGUACACAUGUUUUAGGGACUGUCUAUCCCUCACAUGCCUAAAACUUCUUCUGUAUCAGUCACUUUUACUCCGAUCCAUCGGAUCACUGAUGAACGUCCAGAUCUCCUUCUUCCUUCUUUAACCGUCGAUGGUCAUCUUCUUUCCCGAUCCUGCAGCCCCCUCUGACCCAGCCCUAACCGUCUGCCACCGCCUCCCGCGGCCGGCGGCUAUCGCAGCCUUGCCAUCUCACCUUUCCCCCCCCCCCCCUGUCGGUGUCAAAACCGACGGAUCUCGGGUAGGGGGUCUCGAACUGUGCGUCUAAGGCUAAUGGUAACAGGAGACUGGGGACACGAUGUUUACCCAGAUUCGGGCCCUCUCGAUGGAGGUAAUACCCUACUUCCUGCUUGAUUGAUCUUGAUGAUAUGAGUAUUACAAGAGUUGAUCUACCACGAGAUCAGAGAGGCUAAACCCUAGAAGCUAGCCUAUGGUAUGAUUGUUGUUGUUGUGUCCUACGGACUAAACCCUCCGGUUUAUAUAGACACCGGAGGGGGCUAGGGUUACACAGAGUCGGUUACAGAGAAGGAGAUCUACAUCCGAAUCGCCAAGCUUGCCUUCCACGCCAAGGAAAGUCUCAUCCGGACACGGGGCGAAGUCUUCAAUUUUGUAUCUUCAUAGUCCAACAGUCCGGCCAAAGUAUAUAGUCCGGCUGUCCGGAUACCCCCUUAUCCAGGACUCCCUCACCCCCACCGCCCCCUCCAUCCCUCUAAGUCCCGCCUCAUCGUUGAAGAAUUCCGGCAAUCCCCUGCACCUCACCCCUAAGAUAGAUAGUGGGGCCGCCUCUUCUCCGGCGAGAUUUGAUCUUAUCCGGCGAGCUUGGGAUGAACGAGGAAAAGUGACUGACACGAAGGAAAUUUUCAGGCACCUGAAAUAUAGCAAAACCACAUGUUUUAUGAUCAUUUGUUUGAAAUGCAAACGAAAUCAUGAAUUUCUAUGUAAUUCUAGUGGUCUCAUGUCAAGAUCUUUUAACCCGCCGGUGACCCCCAAAAUGGCAACCUAAAAAAACAGAAAUGCUGGUUUUAAAUAUUCUAAAACAUAAAAAAUCUAAAACUAUUCUGCCAAUCUGGUCAAACAGAAACGUGCUCUUAUUCUUGGGCUCUAUCUGCGUGCCAGUUGUUGCUAGCAUGCUCGGAAAAUCGCCGUGGUUCAGGCCAAGUGGCCACAGUGGCAAAGAGCGGAGGUGUAGCCUAGGCAAGCGAGGCCAAAAGCCGAGAGGAGGAUCCGAGAGCAAAUACCACAUAUUCAGGGGAGCAAAGCUGCUAGACACCUGCAACCAUCCAUGAUCCAUCUACUCUACUCUGCUCCCCUCCUCUCCUUAUCUGCUACAGCAACUAUAUAUUUCCCCCGAGGCAAUUUCGGCGUGCUUUACUUACCAGCGGCCUGUUUUUCCCUCCCCCUGACACAAAAAGGCAAAAUCUAUUUUUGUUAAUUAGGAAAAAGAAAGAGCGCGUGUGAACUGGCGAGGGUGGGAAAAAAGGGGGAUAUAUUGGAGGCUGUAGGCAGGAAACUAUGGGAGCUGGGUAGGAGUAGCUCAAAAAUCUGUGAAUUCGUUUCUUCUGUCCCUCUCUUGUGAUCUUCUCCGUCUGUAGCGCUGGAGUGAGCUCGUGAUGUCUCCAUUUUAGGACGGAGGAGUGUGCAAGUGUGCUUCUUCUUCUUAGUAUUAUUAUCAUUUCUUUUCUGUUUGCACCCCAGAUAUUUCCUUUUGCUGCAACUGUUGAGCUCCAAAUCUGCCGUGGUUCAUUUCGUCUUUGAUUCCGGAGGGAGAAGGGGAUCUGCCAUUUCUGUGCUCGGUUCACCAAUUUCUUGCUCAAACUACUCCUCUUGAGAUUUUACCGUUCCCCUUUUCAGUUUCUUGGAGGUAAUUUCUUGUGCUGUAAAACUCUGGUUUGCCGCUAGAAAGAUCUCGUGUUUGACCGGAGACGGGUUUAUGGGUUUUCGCAGCUUCCUAAUCCCUAGUCCUAACUUCGCUUGAGCGCUCGUGAGCUCUUAGUUAGCGGUGUGAAAAUCGCGGCGUCGAGUGUUCUCGUGCAAGAAUCGGUUGCUGCUGCUGCUAGCCAUGGAGGUGAGGUCCGAGCAAGGCUAAUGGCGGGAAGGGAUCUGUUCGGCUUGCCCAAGAGCCAGCCGGCGCCGGCGCCAGCAGCUCCGGCAGCGCCGCCGUCCUCGGCAGCCAUGCAGAGCGUGCGCAUGGCGUACACCGCGGACGGCACACCCGUGUUUGCCCCGGUGAGCUCUGCGGUCGCGCCGCCGGGUUACCAACCGGCAGGGUCUGCAGCACCAGCGCAUGGCUCUAGCAUGUCCGCUGCUCGGGCCGCCGGAGGAAAUGGCGUCGCUGCGCCGCCGGGCAUGGGUGAACCGUCGGCGAAGAAGAAGCGCGGGCGGCCAAGGAAGUACGGGCCCGACGCGGCCAUGUCUCUGGCACUGGUGACUGUGCCGACGGCUGCAGGCUCGACAGGUGUGACACAGGGUGCUUCUGGGCGGCCGUUCUCACCCACGCUGCCGGGAAACUUCGUGCCGUCGGCGUCGCCGGAUGGAGGGAAGAAACGCGGCCGGCCCAAGGGAUCUACCAACAAGCCCCGCGUGGAUGGUGCCGGUAACAUCUCGAUUCCCUAUUAAUAUUCUGUGUUGAACACUAUUUGCAUUUUCAAGAUUUUAGGUCCAAGAAUAGUGAUAACUGAAGCUCAUCAUUUUGUGUGUGUAUGGAUUUAUGGUAGAAUAUGAGUACAGGUUUCUCUUUGAACUGGGUUAAGUGUGCUAUUUGUCUAUGGUCAGAGGCUAAAUGAGAUAUAUUGCACACUCUACACUGUCAGAAUUAAAGGGUGAACUGCUAGGGAGAUUUAGCAAUCUAGCACUCCCUUGUUGUUUUACUUUGAUUGAUUCGAAAUUGAGAAUAUUGGUAAGGCAGGUUUACCUAAAGCAUUUACAGUGAUCUCUCUCAAAAAAAAAAGCAUUUACAGUGAUUCACGUAUUGAUGCAUUUCUGAGAUGUUUAAUUUGAUGCUGUUUUUCUCCUUGAAUUAUGGACCAUACAAUUUUUUUGUUUGAAGUGUCCUGUUUGCAUAUUUUUAUUAUAUUAAUGUGACACUGAUGUUUGUUGACUUUGCAUCUGUGAAGUUCUUCUUUGCAUAGUUAGUCCUAAGUUUAAGCUAUUUUGCAGGGCCGGCAGGAGUUGGAUUCACACCUCAUGUUCUUACAGUUCAAGCUGGGGAGGUAUAGUAAUAUUUGAACAUUUGAACUUCCAUGCUAUACUCAAUGAUGUUUGAAGGAUGAACUACUUUUAAUCGGUUAAUCUUAUCCCAUGCAUCAAGAUAAUAUGCUGCUGAUGGUUAUGUGCAAUUUUUCUAGUUUACCCUCCCAAUUCUGACCCUACAAAUCUCAAUCAACCUUCAUAUCCGAUAUCCUAGAGCACAAAAUCCAGUCUGCAUUAAGCCAAUGUUAUUUUGGCCAGGAUUUCAUGUUGUGCUUUAGAAGAUUUAUAAUUUGAUCAUAAUUUUUAUUUAUUUUACUUAUUGAUGCUUUGCGGGUUUGUGCCUCCUUUUUGUUUUUUUUUAUGCUUUGCUAUACAUAUUUUACCCUGCUGCAUAACUUGGAUGCUACAUCGCCUUCCUCUAGAAAGUGUUAAGCUGGCGAGUUCUGUAGGUAUCAGCACAGCUUUCCUCUAACUAACAAAGAAUAUAUUGAACUCUGUUUUUCAGGAUGUAUCGUCAAAGAUUAUGUCAUUUUCUCAGAAUGGAACUCGUGCAGUUUGUGUUCUCUCAGCAAAUGGUUCCAUAUCAAAUGUAACACUUCGUCAAACUGGUACAUCAGGUGGAACUGUAACAUAUGAGGUUUGUACUUUUAACCAGUUUGAAGUAGUUCAAUCUGAAUUAGUUACCAGGUUGUGGGCUGUUUGCAAUAAAGCACGUAAGAUGUUGUCAUGAGGCAACGAGCAGUGCAAAUUCCUGCAUGGUUGUGGGGUUCAGUGUCCAUGUACAAUAUACAAUAUGUCACUCACCAAUGCUGAUUAUUUUUUGUUUCCUCCACAGGGCCGAUUUGAGAUACUGUCACUCUCCGGGUCGAUCUUUGUAACGGACAACGGAGGCCAGCGUACCCGAACAGGGGGCCUCAGCGUUUCGUUGGCUGGUCCUGACGGUCGUCUCUUGGGUGGAGGGGUCGCAGGACUUCUCAUAGCAGCUUCUCCAAUCCAGGUAUUGUUUUCUACCCCGCAAUUUUUCAUGUGCUAACAAAAGGAAAGUGCCAAUGACAUGAGAUGCUCUAACUCUGUGCAUAUUUUCUCCUCACUGGAUUUCAGCAAACGAGAAUCAUAUCAUUUACCAGUAUUACUCGUGUUGUAUGCAGAUAGUAGUGGGAAGCUUCAAUGCUGGUGGGAAAAAAGAGCCGAAGCCACAGGCUCCUCCUGAGCCCGUACCACUGAAGGUCGUUCCAAGCACUGGGAUGGCGGCCAACAGCCCCCCUUCAAGAGGCACAUUGAGCGAAUCGUCUGGUGGCACCGCAAGCCCAAGACAUCAAGGCUACGCCUCCAACAACAAUAACCAGCCGCCGAUCUUGUCCAGCAUGCCCUGGAAAUAAACUCAGCAUCCUUGACCGAAUUCGGACAUCGAUAGACUGUUGGUGAACUGCCUCCCUGGCAGGAAGUAGAAAUGUCACUUCUGUCUAACUAGCUCCCAUUUAGUCGUAUAAAUCAGAAGUUUAAUUAGGGAGCAUUGUAGCUGGUAUAAGUGGUAACUGCAGCUGCUGUGUAGGUCGUCUCAGCUUGAAUUUCUGUGCCACUUAGUUGUUUAUUGUUGUCUUGAGAUGAUGUAUUUAGGUAUGAUCUUGUGACCCUAUGAGGCGCUAUGGAAUAAUCAUGUUCUUAUGUUCAGUCAAUUUAU
rnacentral:lncRNA from 1 species